rnacentral:tRNA from 1 species
GCCGCAGUGGUGAAAUUGGUAGACACGCGGGUUUCAAAAACCCGUGGGGGCAACCUCUUGUCGGUUCGAGUCCGACCUGCGGCA